rnacentral:ncRNA from 1 species
CUUAUCCAGAGUGACGGAGGGAACAGGCCCAAUGAAGUCCGGCAACCUGCUUUGAAGAGUAAGGUGCCAAGUCCUGCGGUGUGUAUGCCGAAAGAUGAG